rnacentral:rRNA from 1 species
CCCUUAGAUGUUCUGGGCCGCACGCGCGCUACACUGAUGCGUUCAACGAGUUUUUAGCUUAUCUGAUAAGAUUGGCUAAUCUUCUGAAAACGCAUCGUGAUGGGGAUAGAUUAUUGUAAUUAUUAAUCUUCAACGAGGAAUUCCUAGUAGGUGUGAAUCAUCAGUUCACGCCGAUUACGCCCCUGCCCUUUGUACACACCGCCCGUCGCUCCUACCGAUUGAGUGGUCCGGUGAAUAAUUCGGACCGGUGAGCUUCCAGGUUUACCUGGCUGCUUGCUGGAAAGUCUAGUGAACCUUAUCACUUAGAGGAAGGAGAAGUCGUAACA